AUGUAUCCCUGUGUUUCCUGUCUCUCUGUACCAGUGUAUUUAUCCCUGUGUUUCCUGUCUCUCUGUACCAGUGUAUUUAUCCCUGUGUUUCCUGUCUCUCUGUGCCAGUGUAUUCAUCCCUGUGUUUCCUGUCUCUCUGUACCAGUGUAUUUAUCCCUGUGUUUCCUGUCUCUCUGUCCCAGUGUAUAUAUCCCUGUGUUUCCUGUCUCUCUGUACCAGUGUAUUUAUCCCUGUGUUUCCUGUCUCUCUGGGCCAGUGUAUUUAUCCCUGUGUUUCCUGUCUCUCUGUACCAGUGUAUUUAUCCCUGUGUUUCCUGUCUCUCUGUACCAGUGUAUGUAUCCCUGUGUUUCCUGUCUCUCUGUGCCAGUGUAUUUAUCCCUGUGUUUCCUGUCUCUCUGUACCAGUGUAUUUAUCCCUGUGUUUCCUGUCUCUCUGUACCAGUGUAUUUAUCCCUGUGUUUCCUGUCUCUCUGUACCAGUGUAUUUAUCCCUGUGUUUCCUAUCUCUCUGUGCCAGUGUAUUUAUCCCUGUGUUUCCUGUCUCUCUGUGCCAGUGUAUUUAUCCCUGUGUUUCCUGUCUCUCUGUACCAGUGUAUUUAUCCCUGUGUUUCCUGUCUCUCUGUGCCAGUGUAUUUAUCCCUGUGUUUCCUGUCUCUCUGUACCAGUGUAUUUAUCCCUGUGUUUCCUGUCUCUCUGUGCCAGUGUAUGUAUCCCUGUGUUUCCUGUCUCUCUGUACCAGUGUAUUUAUCCCUGUGUUUCCUGUCUCUCUGUACCAGUGUAUUUAUCCCUGUGUUUCCUGUCUCUCUGUACAAGUGUAUGUAUCCCUGUGUUUCCUGUCUCUCUGUACCAGUGUAUUUAUCCCUGUGUUUCCUGUCUCUCUGUGCCAGUGUAUUUAUCCCUGUGUUUCCUGUCUCUCUGUACCAGUGUAUUUAUCCCUGUGUUUCCUGUCUCUCUGUCCCAGUGUAUAUAUCCCUGUGUUUCCUGUCUCUCUGUACCAGUGUAUUUAUCCCUGUGUUUCCUGUCUCUCUGUACCAGUCUAUUUAUCCCUGUGUUUCCUGUCUCUCUGUACCAGUGUAUUUAUCCCUGUGUUUCCUGUCUCUCUGUACCAGUGUAUUUAUCCCUGUGUUUCCUGUCUCUCUGUACCAGUGUAUUUAUCCCUGUGUUUCCUGUCUCUCUGUAACAGUGUAUAUAUCCCUGUGUUUCCUGUCUCUCUGUACCAGUGUAUUUAUCCCUGUGUUUCCUGUCUCUCUGGGCCAGUGUAUUUAUCCCUGUGUUUCCUGUCUCUCUGUACCAGUGUAUUUAUCCCUGUGUUUCCUGUCUCUCUGUACCAGUGUAUGUAUCCCUGUGUUUCCUGUCUCUCUGUGCCAGUGUAUUUAUCCCUGUGUUUCCUGUCUCUCUGUACCAGUGUAUUUAUCCCUGUGUUUCCUGUCUCUCUGUACCAGUGUAUUUAUCCCUGUGUUUCCUGUCUCUCUGUACCAGUGUAUUUAUCCCUGUGUUUCCUAUCUCUCUGUGCCAGUGUAUUUAUCCCUGUGUUUCCUGUCUCUCUGUGCCAGUGUAUUUAUCCCUGUGUUUCCUGUCUCUCUGUACCAGUGUAUUUAUCCCUGUGUUUCCUGUCUCUCUGUGCCAGUGUAUUUAUCCCUGUGUUUCCUGUCUCUCUGUACCAGUGUAUUUAUCCCUGUGUUUCCUGUCUCUCUGUGCCAGUGUAUGUAUCCCUGUGUUUCCUGUCUCUCUGUGCCAGUGUAUUUAUCCCUGUGUUUCCUGUCUCUCUGUACCAGUGUAUUUAUCCCUGUGUUUCCUGUCUCUCUGUCCCAGUGUAUAUAUCCCUGUGUUUCCUGUCUCUCUGUACCAGUGUAUUUAUCCCUGUGUUUCCUGUCUCUCUGUACCAGUCUAUUUAUCCCUGUGUUUCCUGUCUCUCUGUACCAGUGUAUUUAUCCCUGUGUUUCCUGUCUCUCUGUACCAGUGUAUUUAUCCCUGUGUUUCCUGUCUCUCUGUACCAGUGUAUUUAUCCCUGUGUUUCCUGUCUCUCUGUAACAGUGUAUAUAUCCCUGUGUUUCCUGUCUCUCUGUACCAGUGUAUUUAUCCCUGUGUUUCCUGUCUCUCUAUACCAGUGUAUUUAUCCCUGUGUUUCCUGUCUCUCUGUACCAGUGUAUAUAUCCCUGUGUUUCCUGUCUCUCUGGGCCAGUGUAUUUAUCCCUGUGUUUCCUGUCUCUCUGUACCAGUGUAUUUAUCCCUGUUUCCUGUCUCUCUGGGCCAGUGUAUUUAUCCCUGUGUUUCCUGUCUCUCUGUACCAGUGUAUUUAUCCCUGUGUUUCCUGUCUCUCUGUACCAGUGUAUUUAUCCCUGUGUUUCCUGUCUCUCUGUACCUGUGUAUAUAUCCCUGUGUUUCCUGUCUCUCUGUACCAGUGUAUUUAUCCCUGUGUUUCCUGUCUCUCUAUACCAGUGUAUUUAUCCCUGUGUUUCCUGUCUCUCUGUGCCAGUGUAUUUAUCCCUGUGUUUCCUGUCUCUCUGUACCAGUGUAUUUAUCCCUGUGUUUCCUGUCUCUCUGUUCCAGUGUAUUUAUCCCUGUGUUUCCUGUCUCUCUGUGCCAGUGUAUUUAUCCCUGUGUUUCCUGUCUCUCUAUACCAGUGUAUUUAUCCCUGUGUUUCCUGUCUCUCUGUGCCAGUGUAUUUAUCCCUGUGUUUCCUGUCUCUCUGUACUAGUGUAUUUAUCCCUGUGUUUCCUGUCUCUCUGUAA
rnacentral:lncRNA from 1 species